GCACUGUUGACGAGUCCCAAACAAGACGAAACAGCUGUCCGGUGU
rnacentral:hammerhead_ribozyme from 1 species